UCCCUCUUCAGUUACCUCGCGCACCGCACUGAUAUCGGAGCCGGAAGAUGAUGUCAUCUUCCGGCUCCGGUAUCAGUACGUGGCGCGCGAGGGAGCUGAACA